rnacentral:rRNA from 1 species
AUUGAACGCUGGCGGCAGGCCUAACACAUGCAAGUCGAACGAGUGGCGGACGGGUGAGUAAUGUCUGGGCAACUGCCCGAUGGAGGGGGAUAACUACUGGAACCGGUAGCUAAUACCGCAUACCAUCGGAUGUGCCCAUAUGGGAUUAGCUAGUAGGUGGGGUGACGGCUCACCUAGGCGACGAUCCCUAUCUGGUCUGAGAGGAUGACCAGCCAAACUUGAACUGAGACACGGUCCAGCCUCCGACGGGAGGCAGCAGUGGGGAAUAUUGCACAAUGGGCGCAAGCCUGAUGCAGCCAGGCCGCGUGUAUGAAGAAGGCCUUCGGGUUGUAAAGUACUUUCAGCGAGGAGGCGUUACUCGCAGAAGAAGCACCGGCUAACUCCGUGCCAGCCGCCGCGGUAAUUC